CCUCCCUCAAGCUCAUACGUGGUAACACGUAUGAGAUUGAACAAUCUUCAAAUUAGGUGGUAGAAGUAGCUCAUGCACUAAUCGUUGCGGAAGCUUGAUGAAUGUUCCAUAGCUUGCGAUUUUGCAAGCCGAGAUAGAUGAUCUGAGUUUUGGUUGAAUGUUUGUUUUAUCCAUCCUACAAUGAGAUGAUUGUUUGCUCUCCAAUCUUCACGGUAGGGUGAAUCGGCUGCCGGUAGACUGCCGUCAAGAAAUCUGAAUCUUCGUGAGCUAAUAGCCAUACGAAAGUUGAUGAAUGAAUGUGAAUUGUUGAAUGAAUUUUCCUUGCUUCAAAUCGAGAAACAAAGGAAUAGAGAAUAAGUUUGAUGAUUUGCGAUUUUGCAAAGACACCAAGACUAUGAUUGAAUAAAAAUCUUCUUCUUCAAGUCGUGAAUAAAG
rnacentral:lncRNA from 1 species